rnacentral:rRNA from 1 species
UACAGAGGGUGCGAGCGUUAUUCGGAAUUACUGGGCGUAAAGCGUGCGUAGACGGUUAUUUAAGUCGGGUGUGAAAGCCCCGGGCUCAACCUGGGAAUUGCAUUCGAGACUGAAUAGCUAGGGUACGGUAGAGGGAAGCGGAAUUUCCGGUGUAGCGGUGAAAUGCGUAGAUAUCGGAAGGAACAUCAGUGGCGAAAGCGGCUGCCUGGACCAGUACCGACGUUCAGGCACGAAAGCGUGGGGAGCAAACAGG